GACGAACGCUGGCGGCGCGCUUAACACAUGCAAGUCGAGCGAAGGGGCGGACGGGUGAGUCACCCGUGAGUAACCUGCCUUAGACAUUGGGAUAGGCUCGGGAAACCGGGUUUUAUACCAAAUGGUCUAAGAUGGACUCGCGUCCCAUUAGCUAGUUGGGAGGUAACGGCCCACCAAGGCGACGAUGGGUAGCCGGCCUGAGAGGAUGAACGGCCACAUUUGAACUGAGCGACGGUCCAAACUCUACGGGAGGCAGCAGUGGGGAAUACUGCACAAUGGAGGGAACUCUGAUGCAGCGACGCCGUGUGAACGAAGAAGGCUUUCGAGUCGUAAAGUGCUUUUAUAUGGGAAGCGGUACCAUAAGAAAAAGCCCCGGCUAACUACGUGCCAGCAGCCGCGGUAAUUC
rnacentral:rRNA from 1 species